UACGAAGGGGGCUAGCGUUGCUCGGAAUUACUGGGCGUAAAGGGCGCGUAGGCGGAUGUCUAAGUUGGGGGUGAAAUCCCGGGGCUCAACCUCGGAACAGCCUUCAAUACUGGAUAUCUUGAGUUCGGGAGAGGUGAGUGGAAUGCCGAGUGUAGAGGUGAAAUUCGUAGAUAUUCGGCGGAACACCAGUGGCGAAGGCGACUCACUGGCCCGGAACUGACGCUGAGGUGCGAAAGCGUGGGGAGCAAACAGG
rnacentral:rRNA from 1 species